UACGGAGGGUGCGAGCGUUGUCCGGAAUCACUGGGCGUAAAGGGCGCGUAGGCGGCCUGAUAAGUAGGGGGUGAAAUCCUGCGGCUUAACCGCAGGGCUGCCUUCUAAACUGUCAGGCUAGAGCACGGUAGAGGCAGAUGGAAUUCCCGGUGUAGCGGUGGAAUGCGUAGAGAUCGGGAAGAACAUCAGUGGCGAAGGCGGUCUGCUGGGCCGUUGCUGACGCUGAGGCACGAAAGCGUGGGGAGCAAACAGG
rnacentral:rRNA from 1 species